GUCUGAUUGCUGAUUUCACCAAUAAGCCAAUGAUUGACAAGGAACAAGGAACCUACRCCGACAAAUUCGAGUCAGACUCAAAUGUGUAUAUCCUCAGGUGAAAGCAGCACAUGAGGAGCAGGAGAUAACCGAGGGCACGGGUUGAAUUCUGGAGAUUGAGUAUACAUCAAGAUACACCAGGCGGGGGUGUUGGGACAGUGUUGGUCUGGUCUACGCACAGUACUCCUUACAGCACCUUCAGCGGUAAAGAUCGUCAUGUCUCUCCUCGUCCUGUGCUAUCACUCUCUUAAGAACCAGAAGGAGAAAGUGGAAAAGCAGCUCCAGCUGAAGUGGAGGAAGCCAACAGCUUCAGCUGGAAUGGCAUUCUGUUGUGUGAUGAGAGAUGGAAAUAAGAGCGUGCAUAUAGAACAGAGGCCAUAAGCCUAACUGUGAAUGUGAAUCAUGUUACAUUUUUUAUUCAUGUUUUAUUAUUAUUGUUUGUCCAUUUAAAAGUAAUUUCCAAGUGUAUGUAAUGUUGAACAGUAUGGAGUUAAAUGCUAGAAACAGGGGACUGUUAGAUUCUGGGUUCUGACAUCUUAAACUUGGAACAUUGUUAUACUAGAGACAUGAUAGAUCAGAAGUAAUACUAUAGUAUCUGAGGAGUGAUAGAGACUGGUUUUUAUAUCAGAAGUUAAUGAUUAUCUGUAAGAGCCAGAUGGCUUUGGAAUGUGCUGAGUAGAGGGGAGGCAAUCACGAUUGCUAUAGGUGAUACGGGUGGAGAGCUUUGGAUUAGGCAUCAAGGGGGUUGAGGUCAGGUCACCUUAAGGGAGAAGGAACGGUUCAUUACCCCAUCACUUCGUCUUCCUGUCGAACCAUAAUAGAUGUAAGGGUUGGAGAGGAGGAGUGCACCUAAAUUGGAGUAUAUAUAUAUACUUGUGUUGGUGAAGACAUAUUUUGUUUGAAUGCAGCUGUAUUGACCCUCUGGGAAGAAUAAACUUGUUUAAACUUUCAUAGUAUCAAUUGAGUUCGACUGAGAAUUAGAACCUAACAAUAGACACAGGAAACUUGUGAAAAACCCAGCAGCUUUGC